UACGAAGGGGGCUAGCGUUGCUCGGAAUCACUGGGCGUAAAGCGCACGUAGGCGGAUUGUUAAGUCAGGGGUGAAAUCCUGGAGCUCAACUCCAGAACUGCCUUUGAUACUGGCGAUCUUGAGUCAGGGAGAGGUGAGUGGAACUGCGAGUGUAGAGGUGAAAUUCGUAGAUAUUCGCAAGAACACCAGUGGCGAAGGCGGCUCACUGGCCCGGUACUGACGCUGAGGUGCGAAAGCGUGGGGAGCAAACAGG
rnacentral:rRNA from 1 species